GACGAACGCUGGCGGCGUGCUUAACACAUGCAAGUCGAACGGAAAGGCCCUGCUUUUGUGGGGUGCUCGAGUGGCGAACGGGUGAGUAACACGUGAGUAACCUGCCCUUGACUUUGGGAUAACUUCAGGAAACUGGGGCUAAUACCGGAUAGGAGCUCCUGCUGCAUGGUGGGGGUUGGAAAGUUUCGGCGGUUGGGGAUGGACUCGCGGCUUAUCAGCUUGUUGGUGGGGUAGUGGCUUACCAAGGCUUUGACGGGUAGCCGGCCUGAGAGGGUGACCGGCCACAUUGGGACUGAGAUACGGCCCAGCCUCCUACGGGAGGCAGCAGUGGGGAAUAUUGCACAAUGGGCGGAAGCCUGAUGCAGCACCGCCGCGUGCGGGAUGACGGCCUUCGGGUUGUAAACCGCUUUCGCCUGUGACGAAGCGUGAGUGACGGUAAUGGGUAAAGAAGCACCGGCUAACUCCGUG
rnacentral:rRNA from 1 species